GUAGGUUUUCCACCAAAACCACAAAAAUAAGACUUCUAAAAAAAUCGAGUUUUUUUCGCCAAAACUGUGAAAACGAGAUUUCCCGCCAAAAUCGUAGAAUUCAGUUUUUUUUUAGAUAAUCAAAAUAUAAUUUUUUAUUUGUUUUUCACCAUAAUAAAAAAAUGAGUUUUUUGUCGUUAUCACAAGUGUUUAGAUUAAAGGGAAAUUGGGUUGUAUAACCAUCAAACAAAUUAUAAUUCAAUGGCUAACCAAAAAACCUGCAUCACCUAUACACUUACCUUCUUAUACAUAAUAUUGUCAUAUUGCCCUCAGAUACAACCGGUUGAAACCUGUAAGAAAAAAUAAAGAAAAGUUAAUAAUAAUAAUAAUACUCAAAAGUUACGUGUGGCCCUUGAAAAUCACACAUUCUCUCACAUGUGCUUUAUUUUGGUAACUUUAACAGUAGAUGAAAUUCUUCUUCCCAGAUUUUUUCUUGAAUUGAUUUCUUCUCACGAGAAGAACAAUCAACUGUAGUAAAAAUGAGGCAAUGAUGAAGGCGUAGACGGUGAGAACACACACCAACUCUUUAAUUUUUUCCUCCAUCUCUUAACUCACUGAUUCUUACAAUCAUGCUUUUGUUUUCAUAUUGUUUUCGUUUUUAAAUCUUGCAAAUGAGAUGGGAUUAUCGCAUCAGAGUUAGAUCCAUGAUAGAUAUCCACUGAUGAAGAAUAACGACGGCGGAUCUGUAAAGUGUUGAUGUGUCAGAAAAAGAGGAGUAGAUGAAGACGAUCUCUAUAUGGUAGUAAAGAAUAAUGAGAGUGAACCAAAUGAAUGCGUAUCAUCAUGUCUAAGAAUGAAGAAUUAAAGAAGAUGAACUUUUCGUCUAUACUAUAUUCGGUGAAAUGAAUAGUAUAGUAUAUAUUCUUUAGGGUAGCUAUUUGUGUAAAGAUACCAUACUAUUUAAGAUGAAAUGCUAUACAAUUCCUUAAAAUGUAAUAAUAUGCCAUGUUUUCGAAUUCGAUAGUUAUUUUCACUGUCAUUUUCUGUGAUUGAUUGUAAUAUGAAAUUCAAUUUUUAAAUAUUGCACAAAUUUGAUUAUUUGGAAUCUUCAUUAUUACCAAUUCUAGUUUAGAGAUCUAAAUUCUAUUAUUUAGAGGAAUGGUGGUGAAGUUGAGUUUUGCAUUAGAUUUUGAGAUUUGGGUUUACAAUUUUGGGUUUUGGGUUUAUAUUUGGUUUUAGGAUUUAGUAAUUAAUGUUUAGGGUUUAGUAAUUUCGUUCUUAAACUUGGUCAUUUGGAAAAUGUAAAUGGAGUGGACCAGUACAUCUAUACUAUUUAUAGCGGUUCCAUACUAUGUCGUCUACAUUGAGAAAAUUGACAACAUAUUAUAUAGAUUUUGUUUGGGUUUAUACUUUAGUUAUUUUGGUUUAGAUUUAGUAACUAGGGGUUUGUCUAGGGUUUUAGUAUUUAAGUGGGUGAGUAGAGUUUAGUUUUUAGGGUUUAUAUUUGGGUUUAGGGUUUAGUGAUUAGGGUGGUUUAUAUUUGGGUUUAGGGUUUAGUGAUUAGAGUUUAGGGUUUUUAUUUGGGUUUAGGGUUUAGUGAUUAGGGUUUAGGGUUUAUAUUUGGGUUUAGGGUUUAGCGAUUAGGGUUUAGGGUUUAGUGAUUAGUAAUUAGAGUUUAUAUCUGUGUUUAGGGUUUAUAUUUGGUUUUACGGUUUAGUGAUUAGGAUUUAGGGUUUAUUGAUUAGUGUUUAGAGUCUAUAUCUGGGUUUAGGGUUUAGUGAUUAGGAUUUAGGGUUUAUAUUUGGGUUUAUGGUUUAGUGAUUAGGGUUUAGUAAUUUUCUUUUAAAACUAGAGUUUAGAGUUUAGGGUUUAUAUGUCAUGUCUUCAAAUUUGAUAUUUCUCUUCUAUGCCAUUUUGUAUGAUUGCUCGUAAUAUAAAAUUAGUUUCAUUCAAAUGUUUGAUAAUGUUAGGGUCAUGUCUAGUUCAAGAAUGUCUUUUUCAUCAACAAGUACUUUUAUUUCUUCUUUUACUAUCUUAUACAAUAAAGUUGGCUUGUCUCUCUCUUUAGAGAGCCACGUCAGCAUGUAGGGGAGUGCUUUUGUGGACACGUGGCUUCAUAUUCUCAACUUAUUAAAUCUACUUUUUCGUGUUAAAGUUUUCUAUCCGAUUCAUGCUAUGGGCUUUUUGGGUUUUGUUGCCCACAUGGCAUUAGCUUUUUUUUCUUUCCAGUUUACAUCGAGACACAUCUAAUGCUCGACGGUCUGAAACGAUGACUCCUCAGAUCUCACCGUCUCUGGCGGUCCUCUUUGUAACGCCAUCAAUAAUCGUCACCCGAAAACAUUAAUCUCUGCAUUUACAUCUUCAGCACCACUACUCCCACUCUCUCAAAUUAACUCGCCCAUAUCAUCCUCCAAUGUAACCGAUUGAAGCUCCACCUAUAAAUGGCGUCGUUGACUGGGAUGAAGAGUCACAUCCAAACGAAAUCCCAAAGAUCUCUCUCUAUCAAGCAGCAAAUUCAUCAAUAGCGAAUUCAGUUACUUUGCUUGGUGAGGUCAAUGCUAACAGGAGCACAAUCAAAGAUGGAAUUCACGAAACACAGCGUGUUAUGCUACGUGUAGAAAGGGAUGUGAAUAUGUGUGUCAGUCUGUACGAGGGCUUAGCGUUCGCAUUUCAUAACAAACUCGAAAGCUACGGCUCUGAGGUAGAAGUUGUCUUGGUCACUAACAUCUAUCCCAAGGUUGUUGGAGACAGCCUUUUCAUCCAAGCUGCUUCAUGCCCAGAAAAUAGAACCUCUCACCCUAACUGAGCUUAACCAAUACGUUCUCAAAUCUAAACCUCAGAUCAGUUUCAUUUAUCUCAAAUUUUUAUAGCAAUUUAUAAAUCUAAUAGUUUCUGUUCUCUUUCUGAUUAUAGAUAAUUGAGUUUCUCUGUUACUGAUAUUCAGA